rnacentral:rRNA from 1 species
GAUGAACGCUGGCGGCGUGCCUAAUACGUGCAAGUCGAGCGAAUGGAUUAAGAGCUUGCUCUUAUGAAGUUAGCGGCGGACGUGUGAGUAACACGUGGGUAACCUGCCCAUAAGACUGGGAUAACUCCGGGAAACCGGGGCUAAUACCGGAUAACAUUUUGAACCGCAUGGUUCGAAAUUGAAAGGCGGCUUCGGCUGUCACUUAUGGAUGGACCCGCGUCGCAUUAGCUAGUUGGUGAGGUAACGGCUCACCAAGGCAACGAUGCGUAGCCGACCUGAACGGCUGAUCGGCCACACUGGGACUGAGCCACGGCCCAGACUCCGACGGGAGGCAGCAGUAGGGCAUCGUCCGCAAUGGACGAAAGUCUGACGGAGCAGCGCCGCGUGUGUGAUGAAGGCUUUCGGGUCGUACAACUCUGUUGUUAGGGGAGAACAAGUGCUAGUUGAGUAAGCUGGCACCUUGACGGUACCUCACCAGAAAGCCACGGCUAACUACGUGCCAGCCGCCGCGGUAA